AGCUCCAAUAGCGUAUACUAAAGUUGUUGCAGUUAAAAAGCUCGUAGUCGAAUAUAGGUUGUUUGGAUGCGCGAGCACUCUUGUUUAACUUGAGAUGCUUGCGCCCAUUAGCCGCCCUUGUGGAGCUCGAUGUUCUUGAUUAUCAAGAACACUCAAUCGAUCCCACACAUUACUGUGAACAAAAUAGAGUGUUCAUGGCAGGCCAUUAGGGCUUGAAUACCGCAGCAUGGAAUAAUAGAAUAGGACUUCCGGUUCUAUUUUAUUGGUUUUUGGAGCCGAAGUAAUGAUUAAUAGGGAUAGUUGGGGGCACUCGUACUCCGUUGUCAGAGGUGAAAUUCUUGGAUUGACGGAAGACGAACAACUGCGAAAGCAUCUGCCAAGGAUGUUUUCAUUG
rnacentral:rRNA from 1 species